UUUAUGUCCAGAAUAUAGUACAGUUUAUUAAUUUUAAGUUUUAAAAGCCUUUUGAAAAAGUGUUAAUUAUACAUCCAAUAUCUUAAGUUCAUGCAACUCACCUUGUAGUCUGCUUCUCGGAGCUCAGCAGUACAUGUUCCAUAGGAGAAAUCGAACCUACGAAACUUCGGUUGAAGGGCAAACACUUUAUCGAUUAAACUUGUUUUACCAGUCUGUGUCAUCGACCCCCUCCCCAGAGGAACCUCAUCACAGGAGUAUAACACCGUGUGCUAGCAGUGUUAUUGUUAUACAGAACCCUGGACUGAUGGAGGAGCAAGAAAAUAGUCCCAUGACUGAAUCUGUACAUAGUGUUGACAGCAUCUGUAGUGAUGACCCAGAUUUAGUCGACCUUGGAGCAAGCGCUUCAUCUGUAACAUUUCCAAACUUCCUUGUCAGCUAUGUGUACUUGAUGAACCAAGGUGACGAGGUUGACAAACGUGGAAACAACACGUGUCAAAGGUCAUCUCAGAGUCAUCUGUGACCAAUACAGUUUAUACGUCGCAGAUCUUCCCCAAACUUUACAGGGAGCUGAGGAGAAGACUUGCUACAUUAACUAAAGAUGCUGUGUAUUAUAUUUCCAAAACAGAGGGACUGAAAAAUAUUGGAGCUCAAUUAUAUAUCCUUUGUAAAGUUUAGUUUAAGUAUGAUUUGUAGUCACAAA